rnacentral:rRNA from 1 species
AUGCAGUCGAGCGGAUGAGUAGCUUGCUUACGGAUUCAGCGGCGGACGGGUGAGUAAUGCCUAGGAAUCUGCCUGGUAGUGGGGGAUAACGUUUCGAAAGGAGCGCUAAUACCGCAUACGUCCUACGGGAGAAAGCAGGGGACCUUCGGGCCUUGCGCUAUCAGAUGAGCCUAGGUCGGAUUAGCUAGUUGGUGAGGUAAUGGCUCACCAAGGCUACGAUCCGUAACUGGUCUGAGAGGAUGAUCAGUCACACUGGAACUGAGACACGGUCCAGACUCCUACGGGAGGCAGCAGUGGGGAAUAUUGGACAAUGGGCGAAAGCCUGAUCCAGCCAUGCCGCGUGUGUGAAGAAGGUCUUCGGAUUGUAAAGCACUUUAAGUUGGGAGGAAGGGCAGUAAGCUAAUAUCUUGCUGUUUUGACGUUACCGACAGAAUAAGCACCGGCUAACUCUGUGCCAGCAGCCGCGGUAAUACAGAGGGUGCAAGCGUUAAUCGGAAUUACUGGGCGUAAAGCGCGCGUAGGUGGUUUGUUAAGUUGGAUGUGAAAGCCCCGGGCUCAACCUGGGAACUGCAUCCCAAACUGGCAAGCUAGAGUAUGGUAGAGGGUGGUGGAAUUUCCUGUGUAGCGGUGAAAUGCGUAGAUAUAGGAAGGAACACCAGUGGCGAACGCGACCACCUGGACUGAUACUGACACUGAGUGCGAAAGCGUGGGGAGCAAACA